GGCGGAAUUAGCUAUGGUUUGGUCAAGAGCGGUGGUCCUCAAGGCUUUCACUGCAGGGAUACGUUGCCAAGUGUUAAGAACUACACAUCCCGUGAUGCUCUGCGCGGCUCUGCAGCAGCUGGAGUGCCAGUGGUUGACUAUCACUGCUCAGUUCUGCUCAGUAAAAACACCAUGAAAGCUGGCUCUCUAGGGGCAGAGACUGCUAAGGAUCGCUUGGGGAUAGCUGCUUGGGAGUAGUGGAAGGGGUAUUCAGUUCUUUAUGUGCAGUAUUGAUUGUGACUGGAGGAUGGUGAUUUAGUAGGAGUGCUUUGAAAGGGAGAGAGGGGUAUGGGGAAAAGGGUUAGAUUUGGGGGUUGACAAUUCUAGAAAAAUGACAAGAGAAUUGGAAAUUCUUAAAUUAACCCCUUAAGGACACAGCUUCAGAAGCUUGACUUACGCUUAAUGACACAAGCAAUUUUUGCAUUUUCUUGCUGUUUGCGUUCAACUGCAAUUUGCAUCUCUCUCAUUUAUUGCACCGACACAUAUUAUAUACUGUUUUUUAAAGGACAGAAAGGGCUUUAAUUUGAUAUAACAUAUAUAUAUAUAUAAAUGCUUACUUAUUAUAAAAAAAAUACAGAAAAAUGCAAAAAAAAUGAAAAAUAUUGUUUUUUUUUACAGUUUUUGCAAUAAUAAUGUGUGCAUAAUUAGUGCAGGUUAAGGAAAGUAAUUAAAAAUAAAUUUAUUUAUUUGUUCUGAUUUACAGAAUAUAUAAUGUGUCUGGGAUUUUAAGUUUUUUUUGGUAGUUACAGGUCACAAAGCACAAGGAGUAAAAUAAACUUUUAAUGUGGAGCGAUUUUAGAAUUUGGUAUGUUUGUCUUGUAAGCUUAAUAGCCAUAAAAGAAAACAAAAUUGCCACACAAAAGUAUAUAUUUAUAUAAAGUAGACAUCACGGGCUAUUUACCUAAGGUUGUUUUGACACUUUCUACGUAGCCAUUUCACCGCCAACCUCUGCUAAAUAUUGGAGUAAAAUUGUGUUCUUUUUGGUUUUUGGCACACAAACUUAUAACAGAGAAAUUCUCGUGUAUAUUUUGUAAAGUUGGUGUGUGCUAUUCCUGUACAAAGUUUUAUUUUGUGUUCAGUUACAUCUGCUGAGUAAAAUGACACCCCCAUUGUAUGUCUUUUGCACUAUUUCGUGAAGUUACAGUGCCAUACAGGAUACCUGUCCUUUUCAGUAUUCACAGUAGAAUUUUGAGAGAUGAAUUUAAUGAGCCUUAGCUUCCAUUUGGGGUAUUAUAACAGUUUGACUGUUCAAAAAACCCCCACAAAGGCCUACCAUUUGUAAAAGUAGACACUCCAGGGUAUCUUAUAAGGUGCAUAUUGUGCCUUAACAUGCCCCCAUUUUUCACCAAUAUAUGCCAAAGUAUGUGGUAAAAAAUAAUUUUGUGCAUUUUUUACAUACGGAUUGCAUUUUUGCUGGGCGUUUUGUAUAUUUCAUAUGUGCCACUAAGUUCAAAACCCCCAAAUUAUGCUCAGCUAAGUCUUCUGAGUAAAAUGACACCCCAUAUGAAUGUCUUUGGCACUAUUUCGUGAAGCUACAGUGCCAUAUAGGAGACCAAGCCAUAUCCGUUUUUACCAAACUUUGAAUUUUGACGCUGGGCCUAUGUGCAAUUUCCAAGCAUCUUCGCAGGUUUUAAAUUCAAACUACCCCACAAAGGCCUACCAUUUCUUAAAGUAGACACCCCAGGGUGUUUCAAAAGGUAUAGUUUGAACCUUAGCGUGGGAUCAUUUUUCCGCUAGCUUGUACCAAGUGUAGUGGUAAUAAGCAUUUUUUCUGCCUUUUUGACAUACAAAGUGAGUUUGCGCAGCAUAUUUUGCAAACCUUAUGUGUGCUAUGACUGUAUAAUACUUCAUAUGUUGCUCAGCUAUGUCGGUUGAGUACAGCAAUACCCCCGUAUGUACCUUUGCCAGGUAUAUGUGGAUGUUGAAGGGGCGCAUUUGAGACGCAGCCAUUCAGUUUUUUUCUAACUUUGAAGUUUUAUGCUGUGCCUAUGUCCCAUUUUAGAGUAUUUUACCAGGCUAUAUAAUCCAAAUUCCCCAUAAAGCCAUACCAUUUCUUAAAGAAGACAUCCCAGGGUAUUUCAAAAAGGCAUAUUUUGAACCUCAGCGUGGGAUCAUUUUUCCGCAAGCUUGUACAAAGUGUAGUGGUAAUAAGCAUUUUUCUGCCUUUUUGACAUACAAAGUGAGUUUGCACAGUAUAUUUUGCAAACCUUAUGUGUGCUACGACUGUAUAAUACUUAAUAUGUUGCUCAGCUAUGUCGGCUGAGUACAGCAAUACCCCCGUAUGUACCUUUGCCAGGUAUGUGUGGACAUCGGAGGGGCACAUUUGGGACACAGCCAUUCCAGUUUUUUUCAAACUUUGAAUUUUUAUGUUGUGCCUAUGUCCCAUUUUAGAGUAUUUUACCAGGCUAAAUAAUCCAAAUUCCCCAUAAAGCCAUACCAUUUCUUAAAGAAGACAUCCCAG